rnacentral:rRNA from 1 species
CACGUAGGCACCAAGCGUUGUCCGGAUUUAUUGGGCGUAAAGAGCUCGUAGGCGGUUGAGUAAGUCGGGUGUGAAAACUCUGGGCUUAACCCAGAGCCGCCACUCGAUACUGCUCUGACUUGAGUUCGGUAGGGGAGCAGGGAAUUCCUAGUGUAGCGGUGAAAUGCGCAGAUAUUAGGAGGAACACCGGUGGCGAAGGCGCUGCUCUGGGCCGAAACUGACGCUGAGGAGCGAAAGCGUGGGGAGCGAACAGG